AUUGAACGCUGGCGGCAUGCUUUGCACAUGCAAGUCGAACGGUAACAGGGUGCUUGCACCGCUGACGAGUGGCGAACGGGUGAGUAAUGCGUCGGAACGUGCCGAGGAGUGGGGGAUGACGCAGCGCAAGUUGUGCUAAUACCGCAUACGUACUGAGGUAGAAAGUGGGGGACCUUCGGGCCUCACGCUAUUCGAGCGGCCGACGUCUGAUUAGCUAGUAGGUGAGGUAAAGGCUCACCGAGGCGACGAUCAGUAGCGGGUCUGAGAGGAUGAUCCGCCACACUGGGACUGAGACACGGCCCAGACUCCUACGGGAGGCAGCAGUGGGGAAUUUUGGACAAUGGGCGAAAGCCUGAUCCAGCCAUGCCGCGUGUCUGAAGAAGGCCUUCGGGUUGUAAAGGACUUUUGUCAGGGAGGAAAUCCCUAGUGCUAAUAACACUGGGGGAUGACAGUACCUGAAGAAUAAGCACCGGCUAACUACGUGCCAGCCGCCGCGGUAAAAC
rnacentral:rRNA from 1 species